UACGGAGGAUGCAAGCGUUAUCCGGAAUGAUUGGGCGUAAAGCGUCCGCAGGUGGCUAUGUAAGUCUGCUGUUAAAGAGUGAGGCUCAACCUCAUAAGAGCAGUGGAAACUACAUGGCUAGAGUGCGUUCGGGGCAGAGGGAAUUCCUGGUGUAGCGGUGAAAUGCGUAGAUAUCGUAAGGAAGACCAGUGGCGAAGGCGAGUCUCUGGACAGCAACUGACGCUGAGGCACGAAGGCCAGGGGAGCAAACGGG
rnacentral:rRNA from 1 species